GUAUGUAUAAGAUGCCAUAUUUGAGUUGCCAAAUCUUUUAAACCUAUGAUUUAAAUCUUUUAAAAAAAUUUACAAGAUGUUUAGGUUGGCCUAGUUAAUCAAUGAAAAAAAAAUAAGAAAAAUUAAAUGACAGGAUUUUUUGGGGGUAUAGUGUUGGGUACCCCCUUAAAUGGAUACAUCUCGUACUUACAAAGAAAAAACCAAACAAUAAAGCCAUAGGAACUUUUCAAGUUGGG
rnacentral:lncRNA from 1 species